UUUCUAUUUUUUAAAGAAACUACUCCUACUCUUCCUCGGUUCCUCCGAAUCAAACCUGCCCCAAUUUUUCUACGGCGUCAUACCUUCAAUAAUUUUUCGCUGUCCUCUCAAACUCCUCUAAAAUUCAUCCAAAACUCAAUCAUCGAAGAGUAUAAUCAAGCUGGGUGGCGAGAGUUUCGAGCGCAAUAGAGAGCAAUUAGGGCUUGUAAUUCCUCAUCAUCAUCCGGCAAGUGGGACUAUUCCGAAACGCAUGUCUGCAAAAGGAGAGCGCGCAGGUUGCUGCUGGGUGGCCUAUUUGGCUUGCUGCCAUUGUAGGGGAGGCUAUUGUAGGGUGGUUGUCGCGGGGUGAUUCCUCUCAGAUGUCAAAUAAGGAGUAUUUGGCAAAACUUGCAGCCUACAACGAUGUAGAAUUGGAUGAGAUUCGAGAACAAUGGGCUAAGUUAUUUAGACUUAAUUUUUUGUUGAAAGACUAGUUAUCUUAUUAAUCGAUGUUAUGAUUAAUCACGUUUAGUUUAAUAAAAUAAUAUAACAAAUUUCUAUAAAUAUACUUUUAUUUAGCCUAUUGGUUAUUGUUGAUACAUUUCUAAAUUAUAAAUCAAUGAUUUUUUAUUCAAGUUUUAA